rnacentral:rRNA from 3 species
AGUCAUAUGCUUGUCUCAAAGAUUAAGCCAUGCAUGUCUCAGUACAAGCCAAAUUAAGGUGAAACCGCGAAAGGCUCAUUAAAUCAGUUAUGGUUCCUUAGAUCGUACCCACAUUUACUUGGAUAACUGUGGUAAUUCUAGAGCUAAUACAUGCAAACAGAACUCCGACCGGAGACGGAAGGAGCGCUUUUAUUAGAUCAAAACCAAUCGGCGGCGGGUUCGCUCGUCGUCGUACAACCUGGUGAAUCUGAAUAACUUUUUGCUGAUCGCACGGUCUCGCACCGGCGACGCAUCUUUCAAAUGUCUGCCUUAUCAACUGUCGAUGGUAGGUUCUGCGCCUACCAUGGUUGUAACGGGUAACGGGGAAUCAGGGUUCGAUUCCGGAGAGGGAGCCUGAGAAACGGCUACCACAUCCAAGGAAGGCAGCAGGCGCGCAAAUUACCCACUCCCGGCACGGGGAGGUAGUGACGAAAAAUAACGAUACGGGACUCAUCCGAGGCCCCGUAAUCGGAAUGAGUACACUCUAAACCCUUUAACGAGGAUCAAUUGGAGGGCAAGUCUGGUGCCAGCAGCCGCGGUAAUUCCAGCUCCAAUAGCGUAU